rnacentral:rRNA from 1 species
GACAGAGGGUGCAAACGUUGCUCGGAAUUACUGGGCGUAAAGCGUGCGCAGGCGGUUUUGUAAGUCUGUCGUGAAAUCCCCGGGCUCAACCUGGGAAUGGCGAUGGAGACUGCAAGGCUAGAAUCUGGCAGAGGGGGGUAGAAUUCCGCGUGUAGCAGUGAAAUGCGUAGAGAUGUGGAGGAACACCGAUGGCGAAGGCAGCCCCCUGGGUCAAGAUUGACGCUCAUGCACGAAAGCGUGGGGAGCGAACAGG